rnacentral:rRNA from 1 species
UACGUAGGGGGCAAGCGUUGUCCGGAUUUAUUGGGCGUAAAGAGCUCGUAGGCGGUUUGGUAAGUCAGGUGUGAAAUCUCCACGCUCAACGUGGAGGGGCCACCUGAUACUGCCAUGACUGGAGUCCGGUAGAGGAGUGUGGAAUUCCCGGUGUAGCGGUGAAAUGCGCAGAUAUCGGGAGGAACACCCGUAGCGAAGGCGGCACUCUGGGCCGGUACUGACGCUGAGGAGCGAAGGCGUGGGGAGCGAACAGG